rnacentral:rRNA from 1 species
GACAGGAGGGUGCAAACGUUUGCUCGGAAUCACUGGGCGUAAAGGGCGUGUAGGCGGGUAGGCAAGUCGGGCGUGAAAUCCCUGAGCUCAACUCAGGAACUGCACUCGAAACUGCUUAUCUUGAGUGCCGGAGAGGAAAGCGGAAUACCUGGUGUAGAGGUGAAAUUCGUAGAUAUCAGGUGGAACACCAGUGGCGAAGGCGGCUUUCUGGACGGUAACUGACGCUGAGACGCGAAAGCGUGGGGGAGCAAACAGG